rnacentral:lncRNA from 1 species
CCAGAGGGAAGGCUGUGUGUCCAGCGCCAGCAGGCACAGCGUGGGGACACAUAGGUGUUCAGGCCAUCUGAACGUCCUUGUGACCAGCUCCCCUUUCCUGCUAUCAGCCACCUUCACAGGAUGCCGGCCACAGUGGGCAUGGAAAUGACCCACGGCCUCAGCUCAGGAGCAGGGGCCCCUCACGGGAGGACCGCCAUGCCACCCCCUCAUGCUGUUUCCACCCUGAGGACCCUGACUCUGCCAGCGUCUGGAGGAGAGAGAGAUACCACCAUUUCUGUGAAAAGGGCCUGUGGGUUUUAAUUGACCGCAAGCUCAGAGUGAGCCAACGGGUGACCUGAUUGCUAAAAUAGCCCAGGAGGAGGGCGGAAGCUUCCAGAACAGGGAGGGGGUGGCUAAGAUCUCAGCUGGAAGGAAGUGAGGGCACCAUUCUUGGAACCUGCCCAAAUCUAUAGCUCCAGAGAGCAGGGAGGCCCUUCUCUGGAAACUCUGCCUUAGUCCAGCCCCCAUGGGUGACCUUGGGGCGGGACAGGAGGGGCGGCACCAGAGGCAAAGCUGAGUGGCUCGUGGAGCACAGUAACCCCGGGGGUGAGCGCCGGCCAGCACCCCUGGGCCCUCGCCCCACAGGCUAGUUAGAAGGGCCCAGGGAGGCCAGGUGGGUCGGGCGCUCCAGUCCCGUGUGGGGAGGCCGAGAGCCCGCCUGAGCCCGGAAUGAGAGGGGGACAAAGGCCAGCUGUCCUCCAGCCUUCCUGCUGCACUCAGCGGCCCUGAAAGAAAUGCCAGGAACAAAGAGGACGACUUCUCUCACACAGCAGAUAAUGAACGCUCUGACUCGCAGCCCCCGAGAGCAGCAAAUCCCAGGGUCCCCGGCCAGGAAAUUUACAGCCUGCAUUGACCCUUGGGAGGGCCCCGGCAGGGCAGUGCCCCCUUGCUGGCUCCUCCGUGGCCAGAGCCGGCUGGGGCCUCUUGAAGGCAGAGUGAGUGUCCAGUUCCCCUGCAUCCACUCCAGGGUGGCUGAUUCAGGACCGAGCGUCCACUCCAAGCUGAGCAGAGCCAGCAAGCCCCCUGAGAAGGCUGCAUCCCCUGGAACAGAGAAGACCCUUCCUUCGAGCCCUGCCUCCACAGCGGUCAGGUCCCAGAGACCAAGGCUGGGGCUCUAUGCAAAGGGAGCGGGUGAGGGGUCUCAGCCCCGCUCUGGGGUGUUAGGGGCCCAGGAGAGAGCCCACAGCAUGUGGCUGAGCCAGCUGCCCUCUGUCUCCCCAAAGCAGGGUGGGGCCAGGGGUGCCACCACCUGGGGCGGGCUACCACCUGGGGCGGCAGCUGGAGGCUCAGCUCCCACCCCACCCUGCCCCCAGUCCAUCCUGUGGCUUCGGGCACAUCGGCUGCUCUGGGGCCUCAGUCCUGCCUACAGAAGGGUGCUGGGCCCCUCCUCUGAUGUGCACUAAGGACACGGAAGGACCAGUGCUGUAUCUGGUUCUGACCAGCCACCAAACUGUGCCGUGCCUCAGUUUCCCCAUAGUGUCUACCUCACAGGCUGUCCUGAGGAUUAAAUGAUUUACAAUGUUUAUUUAUUUAUUUUUUAAUUUUUUUUAAUGUUUUAUUUAUUUUUAAUACAGAGAGAGACAGAGCAUGAGAGGAGGAGGGGCAGAGAGAGAAGGAGACACAGAACCAGAAGCAGGCUCCAGGCUCUGAGCUGGCUGUCAGCACAGAGCCCGAUGCGGGGCUCGAACCCACGAAUGUGAGAUCCGACCUGAGCCCGAGUCGGAGGCCUAACCGACUGAGCCACCCAGGUGCCCCAUGAUUUACAAUGUUUAAUGCACUCAGAAUGGUGACCGGCAGAGGGAGGAAACAUUGGUUGUUUUUGCCAUUAUUUCCCCUCUUUUUACCGAUCAAUAUUUAUUGCCAGGUAUGAGGGACUCGGUGGGGAGAAAUAUGGCAAUCUCCCUGCCUUCCAGAGUUUUCCUUCUGGUGGGGGAGGUGGAUGAAAACAAGUAAAUAAAGGAAAAGUACAAUUUCAUCUGUACAAAGUCUGCAGUUUAAGUUAAUAGUAAUGUGCCAGCGGUAACAUCUUGGUUUUGACGGACGUACCACGGUCAAGGUGGGUGAUGCGGCCACGUGAAAAAAAUGGAUGAAAUGUGUACAGCAACCCUUUGUACUGUCUUUGCAGCUUUUCUGUGAAUCUAAAAUUAUUC